GGGAAGGUGGCUCAGUGGUAGAGCACUUGCCUUGCAUGCAUGAGGCCUUGGGCUCCAUUCCU
rfam:Dipodomys ordii contig_67834, whole genome shotgun sequence.